CAACAACAACAACAACAACAACAACAACAACAACAACAACAACAAAAGAUAACAACAACAACAACAACAACAACAACAACAACAACAACAACAAAAGAUAACAACAACGACAACAAUAACGACAACAACAACAACAACAACAACAACAACAAAAGAUAACAACAACGACAACAAUAACGACAACAACAACAACAACAACAACAACAACAACAACAAAAGACAACAACAACAAAACACAACAACAGCAACAAAAGACAACAGACGACAACAAAACACAACAACAACAGACAACAAAAGAUAACAACAAAAGACCACAACAACAACAAAAGAACAAAAGACAAUAACAACAAAAGACAACAACAACAACAACAAAAGACAACAACAACAGAACAAAAGACAACAACAACAACAACAACAACAAAAGACAACAACAACAGAACAAAAGACAAUAACAACAACAACAACAACAACGACAACGACAACGACAACAACAACAACAACAACAACAACAACAA